GACGAACGCUGGCGGCGUGCUUAACACAUGCAAGUCGAACGGAAAGGCCCUGCUUUUGUGGGGUGCUCGAGUGGCGAACGGGUGAGUAACACGUGAGUAACCUGCCCUUGACUUUGGGAUAACUUCAGGAAACUGGGGCUAAUACCGGAUAGGAGCUCCUGCUGCAUGGUGGGGGUUGGAAAGUUUCGGCGGUUGGGGAUGGACUCGCGGCUUAUCAGCUUGUUGGUGGGGUAGUGGCUUACCAAGGCUUUGACGGGUAGCCGGCCUGAGAGGGUGACCGGCCACAUUGGGACUGAGAUACGGCCCAGACUCCUACGGGAGGCAGCAGUGGGGAAUAUUGCACAAUGGGCGGAAGCCUGAUGCAGCAACGUCGCGUGCGGGAUGACGGCCUUCGGGGUGUAAACCGCUUUCGCCUGUGACGAAGCGUGAGUGACGGUAAUGGGUAAAGAAGCACCGGCUAACUACGUG
rnacentral:rRNA from 1 species